AACACGUGCGCGAGUCGCAGGGUUGUACGAAACCCGAAGGCGCAACAAAAGUGAAUGAUCUUCGGAUCUAGGUGGGAUCCCGAAGCCAGCGAUGGCGACGGGCGCACCACCGGCCUGUCUCGGCCGCGACGUCGGCGAGGCGGAGCAAGAGCGUACGCGUUGGGACCCGAAAGAUGGUGAACUAUGCCUGAGCAGGAUGAAGCCAGCAAGAAAUUCUGGUGGAGGUCCGCAGCGAUUCUGACGUGCAAAUCGAU
rnacentral:rRNA from 1 species